rnacentral:rRNA from 1 species
AUUGAACGCUGGCGGCAGGCCUAACACAUGCAAGUCGAGCGCGCGGCGGACGGGGGAGAAAUGUCUGGGAAACUGUCCGAUGGAGGGGGAUAUCUACUGGAAAAGGUAGCUAACAUCGCAUACCAUCAGAUGUGCCCAGAUGGGAUUUGCUAGUAGGUGGGGUAACGGCUACCCUAGGCGACGAUCCCUAGCUGGUCUGAGAGGAUGACCAUCCACACUGGAACUGAGACACGGUCCAGACUCCUACGGGAGGCAGCAGUGGGGAAUAUUGCACAAUGGGCGCAAGCCUGAUGCAGCCAUGCCGCGUGUGUGAAGAAGGCCUUCGGGUUGUAAAGCACUUUCAGCGGGGAGGCGUUACCCGCAGAAGAAGCACCGGCUAACUCCGUGCCAGCAGCCGCGGUAAUAC